rnacentral:rRNA from 1 species
AGCAGUCGCCGCGGUAAUACGUAGGGUGCAAGCGUUAAUCGGAAUUACUGGGCGUAAAGCGUGCGCAGGCGGUUGUGUAAGACAGGGGUGAAAUCCCCGGGCUUAACCUGGGAACUGCGCUUGUGACUGCACAGCUAGAGUAUGGCAGAGGGGGGUGGAAUUCCACGUGUAGCAGUGAAAUGCGUAGAGAUGUGGAGGAACACCGAUGGCGAAGGCAGCCCCCUGGGCCAAUACUGACGCUCAUGCACGAAAGCGUGGGGAGCAAACAGGAUUAGAUACCCCCGUAGUCCCUGUCUCUUAUAC